rnacentral:rRNA from 1 species
UACGUAGGUUGCGAGCGUUAUCCGGAAUCAUUGGGCGUAAAGAGCUCGUAGGCGGUUCAGCAAGUCGGCUGUGAAAGUCCGAGGCUCAACCUCGGAAUUGCAGUCGAUACUGCUGUGACUCGAGUCCGGUAGAGGAGAACGGAAUUCCCGGUGUAGCGGUGAAAUGCGCAGAUAUCGGGAGGAACACCAGUAGCGAAGGCGGUUCUCUGGGCCGGCACUGACGCUGAGGCACGAAAGCGUGGGGAGCAAACAGG